rnacentral:rRNA from 1 species
GCGACCCCAGGAUGGGCGGGGCCACCC